UAAGCGGAGGAAAAGAAACUAACAAGGAUUCCCCUAGUAACUGCGAGUGAAGCGGGAAAAGCUCAAAUUUAAAAUCUGGUGGUCUUUGGCCAUNCGAGUUGUAAUUUAGAGAAGCGACUUCCGCGCUGGACCGUGCACAAGUCUCCUGGAAUGGAGCGUCAUAGAGGGUGAGAAUCCCGUCUUUGGCACGGACACGCCAGGGCUUUUGUGAUGCGCUCUCGAAGAGUCGAGUUGUUUGGAAAUGCAGCUCAAAAUGGGUGGUGAACUCCAUCUAAAGCUAAAUAUUGGCGAGAGACCGAUAGCGAACAAGUACCGUGAGGGAAAGAUGAAAAGCACUUUGGAAAGAGAGUGAAACAGUACGUGAAAUUGUUGAAAGGGAAACGCUUGAAGUCAGUCGCGUCGACCGAGACUCAGCCUUGCCUUGGCUUGGUGUACUUCUCGGCCGACGGGUCAGCAUCAAUUUUGCCCCUUGGAUAAUGGCGAGAGAAAUGUGACACCUUUACGGUGUGUUAUAGUCUCUUGUCGCAUGCAAGGGUCGGGAUUGAGGAACUCAGCACGCGCCUUUGGGUGUCGGGGCUUUUGCCCACGAUACGUGCUUAGGAUGUUGGCGUAAUGGCUUUAAACGACC
rnacentral:rRNA from 1 species